GACGAACGCUGGCGGCGUGCUUAACACAUGCAAGUCGUACGGUAAGGCCCUUUCGGGGGUACACGAGUGGCGAACGGGUGAGUAACACGUGAGUAACCUGCCCACAACUUUGGGAUAACGCUAGGAAACUGGUGCUAAUACUGGAUAUGUUCUCCUGCUGCAUGGUGGGGGUUGGAAAGCUCCGGCGGUUGUGGAUGGACUCGCGGCCUAUCAGCUUGUUGGUGGGGUAGUGGCCUACCAAGGCGGCGACGGGUAGCCGGCCUGAGAGGGUGACCGGCCACACUGGGACUGAGAGACGGCCCAGACUCCUACGUGAGGCAGCAGGGGGGAAGAUUGCACAAGGGGCGCAAGCCUGAUGCAGCAACGCCGCGUGCGGGAGGACGGCCUUCGGGUUGUAAACCGCUUUCAGCAGGGACGAAGCUUUUUGUGACGGUACCUGCAGAAGAAGCACCGGCUAACUACGUG
rnacentral:rRNA from 1 species